GACCGCGUAGCUCAGUUGGCAGAGCAUAGGGCUGGUAUUCCAAAGGUCGUAGGUUCGAUUCCCACCGUGGCCA